CGCCGGGGUGAGGCCGCUGUUGUCGCCAAGGCUGGUUGGGUCUGUGACUGUGGGAGGCGCCGGGGUGAUGGCGGUGGAGACUCUGUCCCCGGACUGGGAGUUCGACCGCGUUGAUGAUGGCUCACAGAAAAUUCAUGCUGAAGUCCAGCUUAAGAAUUAUGGAAAAUUUCUUGACGAGUAUACUUCUCAAUUGCGAAGAAUUGAGGAUGCACUGGAUGAUUCAAUCGGAGAUGUUUGGGAUUUCAAUUUUGAUCCUAUAGCAUUAAAGCUUUUGCCUUAUGAACAGUCUUCCCUUUUGGAACUCAUAAAGACUGAAAACAAGGUCUUAAACAAAGUCAUCACUGUUUAUGCUGCACUUUGUUGUGAGAUCAAGAAAUUAAAAUAUGAGGCUGAAACUAAAUUUUAUAAUGGUCUCUUGUUUUAUGGAGAAGGAGCUACAGAUUCCAGCAUGGUAGAAGGUGAUUGCCAGAUUCAGAUGGGGAGAUUUAUUUCAUUCUUACAGGAACUGUCUUGUUUUGUUACGAGGUGCUAUGAAGUGGUGAUGAAUGUCGUCCAUCAGUUGGCUGCCCUCUAUAUCAGUAACAAGAUUGCACCCAAAAUUAUAGAGACAACUGGAGUCCAUUUUCAGACUAUGUAUGAGCACUUGGGAGAGCUGCUAACAGUUUUGCUUACCUUGGAUGAAAUUAUUGAUAAUCAUAUCACAUUGAAAGACCACUGGACUAUGUACAAAAGGUUACUGAAAUCUGUCCAUCACAAUCCUUCAAAAUUUGGAAUUCAGGAAGAAAAACUAAAGCCAUUUGAAAAGUUCUUGUUGAAGCUAGAGGGACAGUUACUUGAUGGAAUGAUAUUUCAGGCCUGUAUAGAACAGCAGUUUGAUUCUCUCAAUGGAGGAGUAUCUGUGUCAAAAAACAGCACUUUUGCUGAAGAAUUUGCACAUAGUAUUCGUUCAAUUUUUGCAAAUGUAGAAGCCAGACUUGGAGAACCUUCUGAAAUUGACCAGAGAGACAAGUAUGUAGGAGUUUGUGGACUCUUUGUAUUGCACUUUCAAAUUUUCCGAACUGUUGAUAAAAAGUUUUAUAAGUCUUUAUUGGACAUUUGUAAGAAGGUACCAGCCAUCACUCUGACUGCUAAUAUUAUUUGGUUUCCUGAUAAUUUUUUGAUCCAGAAAAUACCAGCAGCUGCCAAACUUCUGGACAGAAAAAGUCUUCAAGCCAUUAAAAUAUACAGAGAUACCUUCCUACAGCAGAAAGCUCAGUCACUUACCAAAGAUGUACAGUCUUACUACGUCUUUGUGAGCUCAUGGAUGAUGAAAAUGGAAUCUAUUUUAUCUAAAGAGCAGAGAAUGGAUAAAUUUGCUGAAGAUCUGACCAACAGAUGUAAUGUUUUUAUACAGGGCUUUUUAUAUGCAUAUAGUAUUAGUACCAUUAUUAAAACCACAAUGAAUCUCUACAUGUCCAUGCAAAAGCCAAUGACCAAAACAUCAGUUAAGGCAUUAUGCAGGCUCGUUGAACUUCUCAAGGCUAUAGAGCAUAUGUUCUACAGGAGAAGCAUGGUUGUGGCUGAUUCAGUCUCACAUAUAACACAGCACCUUCAGCAUCAGGCUCUUAAUUCUAUUUCUGUGGCCAAGAAAAGAGUAAUUUCUGACAAAAAAUAUAGUGAACAGCGUCUUGAUGUGCUCUCUGCUCUAGUUUUGGCUGAAAACACUCUAAAUGGACCAAGCACAAAGCAACGACGACUUAUUGUUUCUUUGGCACUAAGUGUUGGCACACAAAUGAAAACAUUUAAAGAUGAAGAACUCUUUCCACUUCAAGUAGUCAUGAAAAAGCUGAAUCUUAUCAGUGAACUUAGAGAAAGAGUCCAAACACAAUGUGACUGUUGUUUUUUAUACUGGCAUCGAGCUGUCUUCCCGAUUUAUUUAGAUGAUGUAUAUGAAAAUGCUGUUGAUGCAGCCAGAUUACAUUACAUGUUCAGUGCUUUACGUGACUGUGUACCCGCUAUGAUGCAUGCAAGGCAUUUAGAGUCCUAUGAAAUACUUCUGGAUUGCUAUGACAAGGAAAUUAUGGAAAUUUUAAAUGAGCAUUUGCUGGACAAGUUGUGCAAAGAAAUAGAGAAGGACCUGCGACUUUCCGUACAUACUCAUUUAAAGCUGGAUGACAGAAACCCUUUCAAAGUUGGCAUGAAAGACCUGGCCCUUUUUUUCUCUCUGAACCCAAUUCGGUUUUUCAAUCGUUUCAUUGACAUUCGAGCUUAUGUAACUCACUACCUAGACAAGACCUUCUACAACCUAACAACAGUAGCUCUUCAUGACUGGGCCACUUAUAGUGAAAUGAGAAAUUUAGCUACUCAGCGUUAUGGAUUGGUUAUGACAGAGGCACAUCUUCCUAGUCAGACUUUGGAACAGGGCCUGGAUGUCUUGGAAAUUAUGAGAAACAUUCACAUAUUUGUGUCUCGAUACCUCUAUAAUCUCAACAAUCAAAUUUUUAUUGAACGAACAAGCAAUAACAAACAUUUGAACACUAUUAAUAUUCGACAUAUUGCUAAUUCAAUUCGAACACAUGGCACGGGAAUCAUGAAUACAACAGUUAAUUUCACCUACCAGUUUUUGAAAAAGAAGUUCUAUAUAUUUAGCCAAUUUAUGUAUGAUGAACAUAUCAAAUCCAGAUUGAUUAAAGAUAUUCGGUUUUUCAGGGAAAUCAAGGACCAAAAUGAUCAUAAGUAUCCUUUUGAAAGAGCAGAAAAAUUCAAUCGAGGCAUCAGAAAACUUGGGAUAACCCCAGAGGGACAAAGCUACCUUGAUCAGUUCAGGCAACUCAUCAGCCAAAUUGGUAAUGCUAUGGGCUAUGUACGAAUGAUAAGAUCUGGUGGCCUUCAUUGUAGCAGCAAUGCCAUUAGAUUUGUACCUGAUCUUGAAGAUAUUGUAAAUUUUGAAGAACUAGUAAAAGAAGAAGGUCUUGCAGAAGAAACAUUAAAAGCAGCAAGGCAUUUGGAUUCAGUCCUCAGUGAUCACACACGAAAUUCUGCCGAAGGCACAGAGUAUUUCAAGAUGCUUGUGGAUGUGUUUGCUCCAGAAUUUCGAAGGCCAAAGAAUAUACAUCUCCGAAAUUUCUAUAUUAUUGUUCCACCUCUGACCCUCAACUUUGUAGAGCAUUCCAUUAGUUGCAAGGAGAAAUUGAAUAAAAAAAAUAAAAUUGGAGCUGCCUUUACUGAUGAUGGCUUUGCCAUGGGUGUGGCUUACAUUCUAAAGCUUUUGGAUCAGUACCAGGAAUUUGACUCACUUCACUGGUUCCAGUCUGUAAGAGAGAAGUACCUGAAGGAGAUAAGAGCAGUUGCUAAGCAACAGAAUGUGCAGUCAACUAGUCAGGAUGAAAAACUACUACAAACCAUGAAUCUCACUCAGAAGCGACUGGAAGUUUAUCUACAGGAAUUUGAAUUGCUCUAUUUCUCACUGAGCAGUGCAAGAAUUUUCUUCAGAGCUGACAAGACUGCAGCUGAAGAAAACCAAGAAAAGAAAGAGAAGGAAGAAGAGACUAAAACAAGCAACGGAGACUUGUCUGACAGCACUGUGUCUGCAGAUCCUGUUGUCAAAUGAUACUGAUGGUAUGCGUUGCCCCUAUGAAAUCAUCAGAAUUGUAUGUGAAAUGGGUGUUAAUAAGCUAAUAACCAAGUGUUUCCUGGGUCGCAUCUCUGGGAAAUAUUUAGAUGCUGCAACUCUCUAUGGCAGUGCUGUAAAAGUUAAGUCCAUUCUUCUGAAGGCUCUACUUUUCGAAGGCUGAGAAUGAGAUUUUAAAAUCAGAUUUUUGUCUGGACUUUAGCCUAGGUGUGCCUGGGAACAGUUAUUUGAAAUGAAGUUUUAAAAAGGUUAACCUAGAUUCCUAUGCUGCCACCUCAGAUCUCUUGUAAUCUACAUGAAUGUUUAUAAUUUGUAUUUGCAUAGGUCUUUGAUCCAUAUUUGUCUCAGUCAUUGGAAAUUCAGUGCAUAUACUAUGUACAGCCAGUAAAUAUGUUUAAACAAAAGGAAUUGAGCCUGAAAUUCAUGAAGCAUACAUAUCAAUAUGCUUAUAAAAGGGAUAUAUGAAGAUGGUUUUGAUACUAGAGGUGAGGCACAAGUAUCAUGUACCCUUUAUGUACAGUGUGAACUGAUUCAUUGUUAAUUUCAUGUGACUCACAAGAGCUGCUGCUGUGUGUGGUGAGACAUUUUAUAACUAGUUUACAUUGCUUUGAGAACAUUUAACCUCCAACAGCUGCUUUAAAUUUAAGAUUUACUUAGUACUCAAGGUGGAGGAAAAUACAGAUAAAGCCAUAGAGUCCUGCUUGAAGCUUUACUUUUGGCUGAAGGCACUAUGUAUGAUAUCAGAGAAGAUUGAAUGAAUUCUUAUUUCUACAUCCAAACUCAGGUUUCUUCUACAUUAGGUUGAAUUGAAGUCUUGGUGGUGAUUUGGGCAGACUUUUUCUUUAAACCAAGUAUAAUCUAAGAAAUCAGAUUAAGCACUGUGCAGGCUUUUAAAAAAUUACCACUGUGAGAAUAAAGUUCUAAUAAACGAAAUCACUUACUGAUUUAAAAAGUACAAAAUGGUUUUGAAUAAAUAUAGUUCCUGGCAAGCUAUUAGCUUUAUUUUUGUAAAGAUUAUGUCAGUUAAUUAAAUGGUUAGUCAUAGCCUAUAAUCUUUUACUAUAAUACAAUGAUACAUUUACAGUGAAAACAAGAAAGUUUAAAACUUUAUAUGUAAUACUAACAUCAUUUUAGGAAAUACUUGAUUUUUUCAUUGCACUUGCCUAUUAAGCAUUUCUUUGGGUAAAUCCUGCUAGUAAUUCUAACAUUGUUGUUUGAUUUCCAGCUUUUGGAACGGGUGUACAAUGCCCUGUCUGUAUUCAUUGAUCACAGUCAGGGUAACUUUCCCAGCUCAAGAUAAACACUUUCACUGUUAAAAUUCAGAAGAAACAGAAUAGGUGGGUCUCCUUGCACCUCUACAAAAAACCCUGAAUUGCGUUACUUCUUCCAGAAACUGGGCCAAGGUUCUACCUCUCAGCCAAUAUAUUAUUUACAUAGCCAAUUCAGAAUCAUCUUUCUGGAAAGAGUCCAGAGAGGAACUUCCUUCACAACCUUGACCUUUGUCUUUAAACCCCUUUUUUUCCUUUUACUCUAUACCAUGAAUUGGCAAACUGUGGCCAUUUGGCUUACCACUUGUUUUUGUAAGUAAAGUUUUGCUGGAACAGAGCCAUGUCAAUUCAUUUACUUACUAUGGAAGCUUUUGUGUUAUAACAGCAGAGCUGAGUUGUUGGCGACAGAGAUGGUAAGCCUGAAAAGGCUCAUUAUCUGGCCCUUUACAGAAAGUUUGCCAACUCCUGAUCUACACCAAAAAAUAUAAACUUAACAGUGCAUGCUAUUUUUCCAUUAUGUUGGCUUAGUCCUUGAUCUGCCUGCCCCUCUCUGAUAGAUUAGAAUUGCACAAGUAUGACACCCACUAGCUAUUCAAUACGUUACUAUUUACAUUAAUUUUAAAAAUACAGUUCCUCAGUCAUACUAGCCACAUUCAAUCUGCAUAUUAAAUAGCACAUUAAAUAGAUCAUUUCCAUUAUUGCAGAAAGUUUUGCUGGACAGUGCUGAACUAGAACUAGCCCCCUGCUCAUUGCUGUAACUCCAGGAUUUUUCUUAUAUAAAAUUUGCUCUCAGAAGUCAGUUUGAUAAAUGAAGGAUUGCAGACUGCUGACAGAAAUAUCUGAGUCUUCACUUCCAAUAAGUUUCCAAGUAACAUCUCAGUGUUGCUGGGCCUGUGACCUCUCUGAGGAGUAAAGCCUUAGAGCACAUGGUAGAUACUGAGGUUUGUACCAUCUUAAUUUGAAAGAAAGGAAAUCUGGCCGACAACAAGAACAAGCAAAAACACUGAUAAAAGAGCAGAAGUUGGGACUUCCUAGGUGGCGCACUGGGUAAGAAUCUGCCUGCCAAUGCAGGGCACAUGGGUUCGAUCCCAGCCCCAGGAAGAUAACGCAUACCGCGGAGAAACUAAGCCCGUGUGCCACAACUAUUGAGCCUGCGCUCUAGAGCCCGUGAGCCACAACUAUUGAGCCCAUGUGCCGCAACUACUGAAGCCCACGUGCCUAGAGCUUGUGCUCUGCAACAAGAGAGGCCACUGCAAUGAGAAGCCCACGCACCACAAAAUGAAGAGUAGCCCCCACUCACUGCAACUAGAGAAAGCCCAUGUGCAGCAACGAAGACUCAACACAGCCAAUAAAAUAAAUAAAUAAAUAAAAUGUAUUAAAAAAAAAAAAGCUAGGGGUGUUUCUUUUAAAAAAAAAAAAAAGAGCAGAAGUUGCAGCAGUGAUAUUUAUUAAGAACUCCACAUGUUACCAGUGACCAUGGAACCAGCUGAUCAAAAAUGCCUGAUAGUUAGAAGGCUUAAAAGGAGAUCCCAAACUUGGCCACCCUGCCUAGUGAGCAUCAUUUCUCUUUUUGAAAGAAAUCUAAGUGUAUAGAUAGCUUUUGAGUUGUUGUUAAACCAGCACUAAGAUGCACCUUACCUUCUGAACCUCAAUGAUUUCUUUUCCCAAAUUAAUAGCAUAACAUAUCUGCAAGAGACAAGAAAGGUAGUGUUUGGCAAAGGCAGAAAAGGAUAAAGAAUUUUAGAAAAAAAAUGUGAUUAUCAAAGUACAAGGUCACUGUCUGCUCACGUCAGCAUGGGGACAGAGGACCUGGCUGUAGGAGACUCAUCACAGGGGGCUCUGAACAUGAGCGUCCACCUGUCCUGGCCUCCUGCUGCCAGUUUGUACAUACAAAAAAUAUCCAGGUUAAGUGAAAACUGAAGUUAUUAAAUCGUUUAAAAUUCUUACCGGGAUACUUUUUUCCUUUCUCUCUUAACCAUAUUUAGCCACUGCAUGUUCAUACACACAGUGGUAAACAGGUACUUCCUGAAAGAAGGGUUGAUUCAUUUUCAUUAAUUCUAAGUAGUGAAUGAAGUUUUUCAUACUAAAGAAGAGAACAGCUUAAAUGUACUUUCCAGACAUCUGCCUCCUUGGUUUGCUCUCUGAGAAGAGAUUUUCUGCAACUUCUGCUUUAAUUUUUUAAAAAAGAACAAAUUUGAGGGGAACUGCUUUGAACAUUUCUCGAUAUCUCUACUAAACAAUUACAUUUCACCAUUAAAGUUCUUCAUUUGCUCUAUUUUGGUUGAAAUGUAUUUUCCAUAAGGAAAUUAUACUCCAGUCCGUUUACUUUCAGUGGAACCUUCCUGGGAGGUAUUAUUAUCUAAACUCAAUGGGGACCUAAAGAAUAGUCAACUAAAUAUCCAGGGGGGUUGUGCAAAAUAACCCUUCAGAUAUCUUUGGGCUGAAAUAUUAUGGAAUCUUAAGGUGAAGAAAAUAACAAGACCUUUUCG